rnacentral:misc_RNA from 1 species
CAUACAUAAAUAAUUAUAUAAAAAUAAAAUAAAUAUAUAUUUAAGGCAACAAUUCAUGAUUUUUUAUUGGUGUGAAUAACCAAGGUUUCCUUCACAACCUAUAAUAAACUGGUUUAAAAUUCAUGUUACCUCAAUGAGGCACUUCACAAUGAAUAGCUAGAAAGCGUUUAAAUGUGUGUUUGCGGCAGCAAAAUAUUAUGUUUUGCCCUACCUGACGUUUUAUCUUACUGAAUAAUUGCAGUACUCGCUGCUACAUUAGUCGGGGAUCAAAUUCAACACCAGUCACUAAGCUCAAGUUCGGUGGUCUAGUGGUUAUGACACCAGGCUAGGCUAGUUAUCUGGAGGUCAUGGGUUCGAAAAAUUUGCUUCCAAAUUUUUUUUCGCAAGUAUUUGUGAAUGUACUGAGUAUUCAGUAUGAUAACAUGUCAGAUAGUGAAAAACAUUACUCCUAGAAAGUGUCAGUCAUAUAUAAUAGUUUCAAGAGUAAAUGUUAAUGUAAAAUAAUAUACUACUAAAUUUACAAAAAUUAAAAAAUAACUUAAUGCCUUGUUGGCUUUAACUUGUGGUUAAAUGUUAGGGAGGCCAGGGCACUGUGAACACCCAUUCACAAUGAGCCACCCUAAAUAAAAUCAAUAGGUGGUUCAGACUACCCCAGGCUAAGGUAGCUUGACCCAUUAUUUUUUUUAACAGAUUUGACAUAUUUGAAAUCCUAAUCAUUACCUAGCGUACAUACUAUAUAGUAAUAAGUUUAACUGUUAUACCAAUAACAAAUUAUUUGUUUACUUUCAAUGUUUUCUCCUGGUGGUAAAACAAUUUCAACAAGUGACAGUACUCUGGUUUCCCCACCCUGGUAAGUAUAUUAAAGUCAGAUUCUGGAGGGAAAAAAUUGUUUAUUUGUCGUAGAACUGAUUUUCUGGGACACAAAAAAGUUGUUUAACGAAAAAUCGAGGAGUGGUUAAUGAGAUAGAGAUGUUUGAAUAUUUAAAAACUGGGAAAAAAGGGUGGUUACGCCACUGUCUUAGAAAAAUCAAUUCUACAACCUAUCAAAAUUUGUUUUUCCUCCGGAGCCUGAAUUUAACUUUCUCUAGGUCUGGGGCAGCUUGAACCAUUUGACCUAAAUACUUUGACAAACAAUUUUACAAAUGAAUUUAUGUGCUCAAUUACAAAACUGAUUAAACAUAUUCAAACUUCUCAAGUUAGUAAAUUGCAUUUCUUCAGUAACCAUUUCAGGGAGAAAAAAAAUCAAUUAAAUAUGCCAUGAAAGAUUUUGACUGACGCCCGACCACACCCACUAUUCUCUUGUCGGGGAAAGUCCUCCCCCUUUCCACCCACACCACCGUCGGACAAAUCCUUGCACCAUUCCGACUUACAUGCCAAUCAAAAAUAUUUUAUUUAUCAAAAAUAAUGAUCAACAGUAAGUGCAUAAAAGCUGCAGCAUUAUGCGCUAUAAAUAUAAGUGGUAAAAAACCUGAAGUGACACAGGGCACACUUGUAUUUUCUACCCAUAAUAUACAGUACUGGUUACAUAGUCCUUAAUAAUAAUUGUCUUGACAUUCGUAUUAUUAUAUUGUAGGUAUGAUUGAACACACUGAAUGGUAACUUCAACAUGUGGAUAAGAAUAAUGUGCAAAACACAAUAGGGUACAAGUGAUGGACAAUACUGCACCCACAAUAUAAUGCAUCAUCCUUAUUGUCUGUACGCCAUUUUGUAAAAUGAGCAGACAGCGAACAUUUGGUAACAGGUGUUGUCAACUGAUUUUCCACAACAAGAACGAUGGUGUCGGACCCUGUGAAGCCUUCAUCGUCAACAGCACAUGAGAUCAAACUACCGUGCAUGUCAGGCAACACAGAUGGUAUGGUAACUCUAUUGUUUCCCAGAUAUGAGUGCGGUUCUGAUGUGACGUCUGACCAACCACUUGCAAAAAUUCUAAAACAGGCUUUUCCGCCGUGCUUCGGAAGGUAAUGCAAUUGACAUUGAGGUUCUGUAACGCAUUCACGUCUCCAGAAACGCGUUCAAACUUGACCUCUACCACAUUCACUACGUACGUUACAUUUCAUCCUGCGUGUAUGCCUAUUGUAUGGCCUAAGUAUUCUACAA